GACGGGCCUGCCGCGGGUGGCGGGCCCCCGGACGAGCGGCGCCGUACCCGGAGAGCGACAAGACGGCAGCCAC
rnacentral:ncRNA from 1 species